CACAAUGGGCGAAAGCCUGACGCAGCGACGCCGCGUGAGGGAUGACGGCCUUCGGGUUGUAAACCUCUUUCAGCAGGGACGAAGCGCAAGUGACGGUACCUGCAGAAGAAGCACCGGCUAACUACGUGCCAGCAGCCGCGGUAAUACGUAGGGUGCAAGCGUUGUCCGGAAUUACUGGGCGUAAAGAGCUCGUAGGCGGUUUGUCGCGUCGUCUGUGAAAACCCGCGGCUCAACCCCGGACUUGCAGGCGAUACGGGCAGACUAGAGUACUGCAGGGGAGACUGGAAUUCCUGGUGUAGCGGUGAAAUGCGCAGAUAUCAGGAGGAACACCGGUGGCGAAGGCGGGUCUCUGGGC
rnacentral:rRNA from 1 species